GAUGAACGCUGGCGGCGUGCCUAAUACAUGCAAGUCGAGCGAACAGACGAGGAGCUUGCUCCUCUGACGUUAGCGGCGGACGGGUGAGUAACACGUGGAUAACCUACCUAUAAGACUGGGAUAACUUCGGGAAACCGGAGCUAAUACCGGAUAAUAUAUUGAACCGCAUGGUUCAAUAGUGAAAGACGGUUUUGCUGUCACUUAUAGAUGGAUCCGCCGCAUUAGCUAGUUGGUAAGGUAACGGCUUACCAAGGCAACGAUGCGUAGCCGACCUGAGAGGGUGAUCGGCCACACUGGAACUGAGACACGGUCCAGACUCCUACGGGAGGCAGCAGUAGGGAAUCUUCCGCAAUGGGCGAAAGCUUGACGGAGCAACGCCGCGUGAGUGAUGAAGGUCUUCGGAUCGUAAAACUCUGUUAUUAGGGAAGAACAAAUGUGUAAGUAACUAUGCACGUCUUGACGGUACCUAAUCAGAAAGCCACGGCUAACUACGUG
rnacentral:rRNA from 1 species